AAACCGUUCGGGGGUAAACGGACAGAGCCCGUGAAUCCGGGCGCGCGGAAUUCAGGACCGGUUGGCGCGACGUUUCGGCGUCGCGCGGCCGAUUCGAUAUUUCCGCCGCCGACCCGUAACCGCGGGUGUCGGACGUCGCGACCCGUUCGCGUCGAACCGCGGGGGCGCGUUCCAGUUUCGUUUGCGCGUUUCGUCUCUUCGCGGGGGCGAGCGCGUUGCGAAGGCGCGUUUCCCACUUUGUUCUGUCGCGGACGGUAGCUUUGCGCGCGGGUAUUCGGCGCGGCCCGUUCCGCUCGGCGUUCGCGUCGAGCGGGCGCCGCGUCGACGCCGAUCAGCGACGAAUCUUCGGGCCUCUUUCCGA
rnacentral:rRNA from 1 species